UGUGUAAGCAUUGCGCAGUUGGUGACCUAAAUGGUUUGCAGAGACAAUAACUCGAAAAUAAUUACGUGUAUUCAUAAGUCGACAGUUCGGAAGUACACGCGGUUACUGAAGUUCUAUUUCAGUUGAAUUAUGGCUGUUUCAAUCAAAAACGGAUUUAAACGAUUCGGAAAUGGCAAUUUGGUUCUCAACAAUAUAAACGUCAAUGUUUCCAGUGGAGAAAUAUACGGUAUUCUGGGUGCGAGUGGUUGUGGAAAGACGACUUUGCUCUCAUGUGUCGUAGGAUUACGCCAACUAGAUUCUGGCCAAGUCACAGUGUGUGACCAAUCCCGGCCUCACAAUCUUGGCAGUUUUUGUGGUUAUAUGCCUCAAGAGACAGCGCUUGUAAACGUUUUAACAAUCAGAGAAGUCCUAAAGUACUUUGGACUGCUUUAUGGAAUGGAAACCAAGGAAAUUGAAACAGGGCUUUCUAAUUAAUUAGUCAAUCUAAUUAAUUAGCUAAUUAAAUAACAAUGUCUGUCUAAUUACUAAUUACUAAUUAAAGUUAAUUAGUAGAAUACUACCUAAUUAAAAUUACUAAUUAAUUAAAAUGAUCAACAAACCAAUUACUAAUUAAUUUGUUUUUUCUAAACAAAAUUAAGUUUUUAAUCCAUAUUUCUCGUUUAGCCUUUAAAAAAUUUUUUGUCGGCAGCAAAUAUACCAUGCGUGUUUUAUCGACUUCUUAGCCUUUUUUACACUUGUAGUUGCAAUUUUAAACCUUUGUAUUAAAACAACGAGAUAGCAAUAUAUUUUUGAUAUAUCUUUGAAUAUAAUGGACUCCCUUGCAUAGAACCUCAAAAACUUGUUAGAAAAUGUGAAUGGAUGGUAUACUUUUAAAAAAGUCGACAGCGACAAAGUAACGACUGCUUGUAAAUUUUGUCCAAAUAAAGCGAUUACCGGCACAACUAAGGUCAGCUUUAAUUUCCACAGCCAUCUCAAGGUAGUGCGUAAUUUGUUUUAAAUUUCAAAAUAAUUUUACAUUUUACGUUCGCUGAAAGACGACUUAUUCGAGGCGUUAGCCAUGCUGAAAUGUUGUGAAAUUAAUUCAUAAAAAGUUAUGAGUAUGGCGAACUUAAUUAUUUAGUAAUUAGAAGUAAUUAAUUAGUUUGCUUGGUCAGAAGUAAUUACUAAUUAAACAAUUAAUUAGAUCAAAAUUUUCGGAACUAAUUACUAAUUGCUAAUUAAUUAGAAAAGUGGAUAAUUAGAAAGCCCUGAAUUGAAAGCAGGACACGUUUCCUCUCAGAGAUUCUGGACCUUUAUCAACUUGAUGCAGUAAUUCAAAAGUUAAGCGGUGGACAAAAGCGUAGGGUGUCCUUGGCGGUGGCAAUGAUUCAUAAUCCAUCCCUACUCGUGUUAGACGAACCUUGUGUUGGGCUGGAUCCUUUGUUGCGAGAGAGGAUCUGGCAGUAUUUAUCCGAGAUUUCUAGCAAACAAGGGAAAACCGUGAUAAUUUCAACCCAUUAUUUCGAGGAGACAAAAUUUUGUGACAAAGUCGGAUUUCUGCGAAGUGGUCGUCUAUUAGUGGAGGACAGCCCAGCGGCAUUACUUUCAACGUACCAAUCUUCGAAAUUAGUGGACGUCUUCAUGGAACUUUGUAAAACUGAUGAAAACAUUUCAAAUCAUUAUGACACGAGUCAUGAGUCGGUCAAGGAUCAUCGAUUUUCUGAGAAUUUAGUCGAAAAUGCUGCACCCGUGCAUUUUCCUAACAAACUUGGCUCUUCUUUGAAUAUCCGACGUAACAACACUACUAUUUUCCAGGCUUUAAUUUCAAAAUGGUGGCAUAGGAAUCGAAGGGAUUGGAGAUUUAUCUGGGGCAACUUGGGGUUCCUAUCCUGUGUGUUCUUAUCUCUCAAAAUAUAAUCGGGGGUGAACCCCAUGGCAUCCAAGCCAAUCUCGUGUACAAUAAUUCAAAACAUUUGCCAGCGUCGAAUCUCUGUAAGGAUGACAAGAAUUUGGAUUCUUCCAAUGAAUGUUUCUCAAACAUGGGGAUUUGCAAUUUUCUCGAUAAAUUUGCUGAUAAAUUCAUUUGGAUUCCCGCCAAAUCAUAUGAAGAAGGCAUCGAACAAAUAAAAUCAGGACAGACUAUGCUCCUUAUUGAAUUUCCCACAGAUUACGAAACCCAUUUCAAGGAUAAGAUGGUAUAUCGACACUUUUCAAGUAACGAAUCGCUUAUCGGGUCAACCAUUUCCAUCCGCAUGGUCGAAUCAGGCUCAAUUCUUUCAGCCUGGGCGACAAAAUGUAUCCUUGAAAAAUACAUUCUUUACGACCAGAGUAUUUUGUCGUCAUGCUCGAUUAGUGAUGAUCUGAUUAAGCUACCACUUCAUUUCAACGCAAUAUACGGAAGUUUAGAAGCGUUCGACUUAAUUCCCUACAUGCAACUUGGUGUCCUAACUUUGUACAUGUUUAUAAUACCAAUGUGCAUCGGGGUGUUUGGGUGGAGGAUAAAGUGGCAGGCCUUGAGGACCGAGAGUACGUGACCGGCGUCACUCUCUGGCACCAACUCGCUGUCAACAUCGUCACUCAAAGUUUCGUGAUUUUUGCACAAAUUGGAAUUUUCUUUGCAUUAUUUUGCGGCGUGUAUGGCAUGGUGAUUCAUGGCAGUUGGUUGCUAGCUGUUGGUUUGUUGUACAUGACUGCUCUAUGUGGACUGUCGAUUGGAUUUUUGGUCAGCAUUAUAUCGGACGGAAUAUUGAAGAGUGUAUUUAUUGUGGUUUUAAUAACAUUAAGUCAAAUUUAUUCCUCAGGAAUUAUAUUUUCGACGGAAUUGGUUACACCGCUUGUCCGUAAACUGUUCACCUGGAUGCCGUUAACACAUGUGAUUGAGGCGCUACGGUCAAUUUGCACGAGAGGGUGGGACAUUUAUCAUCCGUUCGUUUGGAGAGGAUUUUUACCAGGAAUUGGAUGGAUGACAAUUUCAGUAGUGGUUUCAUUUUUGCUAAGCCGAAUGAAGUAAAUUUCAAGGUUUACAUACAUACAUAUGGUAAUAAAUGUUUUUCAAAAUCUGCAUACUCUUAA